rnacentral:rRNA from 1 species
AGCGAACGCUGGCGGCAGGCUUAACACAUGCAAGUCGAGCGCAUCACUUCGGUGGUGAGUGGCAGACGGGUGAGUAACACGUGGGAACGUACCCUUCGAUCUGGGAUAACUUCGGGAAACUGGAGCUAAUACCGGAUACGCCCUUUUGGGGAAAGGUUUACUGUCGAAGGAUCGGCCCGCGUCUGAUUAGCUUGUUGGUGGGGUAACGGCCUACCAAGGCGACGAUCAGUAGCUGGUCUGAGAGGAUGAUCAGCCACACUGGGACUGAGACACGGCCCAGACUCUUACGGGAGGCAGCAGUGGGGAAUAUUGGACAAUGGGCGCAAGCCUGAUCCAGCCAUGCCGCGUGAGUGAUGAAGGCCUUAGGGUUGUAAAGCUCUUUUGUCCGGGACGAUAAUGACGGUACCGGAAGAAUAAGCCCCGGCUAACUUCGUG